UACGUAGGGUCCGAGCGUUAAUCGGAAUUACUGGGCGUAAAGCGUGCGCAGGCGGUUUUGUAAGUCAGAUGUGAAAGCCCCGGGCUCAACCUGGGAAUGGCAUUGGAAACUGGCGAGCUAGAGUGUGGCAGAGGGGGGUGGAAUUCCGCGUGUAGCAGUGAAAUGCGUAGAGAUGCGGAGGAACACCGAUGGCGAAGGCAGCCCCCUGGGCUGACACUGACGCUCAGGCACGAAAGCGUGGGGAGCAAACAGG
rnacentral:rRNA from 1 species